CAGAAGCGGAAGACAUUUUCUCUGACAGAAUUAUGAAAUUUUACAAUGACCUUGAAAAAUGUAUAUUAACUUAAAUGUCAUUAAGAUUUUGGUGGAUGAGAAAAGGCUCAUGUAACUUGCUAAUGCUGGAAAAAAAGACCUACUUAACUUUCUAAUAUUUUCCCUGAUUCAGAAGGUGUAAGAAACAUUAGUAAGUAGUUCCUUGGUGUUGAAGUGUUUAGUUUCCCGUUCAUAUUCUUAUACGUGAGAAUACAGCAAGUCAGAUGACACUAUUUAAUAGUGUUCAAUUCUAUAUGCAAACAAAGGUAGUCAGUAUGGAAUCACAAGAGAUGACACAUUAAUUCUCAGAAUAAUAAGUGUAGGAAAGUGGGAAGGAGAAAUGAUGAGGACAGAUGUGGCACAAGGCCUUGAAUACUGGGAGGAACUUCACUGAGAAGCAAAGGCAAGUGGUAGGCAGAUGGG
rnacentral:lncRNA from 1 species